rnacentral:rRNA from 1 species
UACGGAGGGUGCAAGCGUUAAUCGGAAUUACUGGGCGUAAAGCGUCUGUAGGUGGCUUUUCAAGUCCGCCGUCAAAUCCCAGGGCUCAACCCUGGACAGGCGGUGGAAACUACCAAGCUGGAGUACGGUAGGGGCAGAGGGAAUUUCCGGUGGAGCGGUGAAAUGCGUAGAGAUCGGGAAGAACACCAACGGCGAAAGCACUCUGCUGGGCCGACACUGACACUGAGAGACGAAAGCUAGGGGAGCAAAUGGG